CCUACGGGAGGCAGCAGUCGGGAAUCUUCCGCAAUGGGCGAAAGCCUGACGGAGCGACGCCGCGUGAGCGAUGAAGGCCUUCGGGUUGUAAAGCUCUGGGGGAGAAGAACCGGUACCUCCUUAGCAAGCACCGGCUAACUCUGUGCCAGCAGCCGCGGUAAGACAGAGGGUGCAAACGUUGUUCGGAUUUACUGGGCGUAAAGCGCGUGUAGGCGGCUUGGCAAGUCGGAUGUGAAAGCCCACGGCUCAACCGUGGAAGCGCAUCCGAAACUGCUUGGCUUGAGCUCGGAGAGGAAGGUGGAAUGCUUGGUGUAGAGGUGAAAUUCGUAGAUAUCAGCAGAACACCUGCGGCGAAGGCGGCCUUCUGGACGAUACUGACGCUGAGACGCGAAAGCGUGGGGAGCAAACAGGAUUAGAUACCCUUGUAGUC
rnacentral:rRNA from 1 species